UACGUAGGGUGCAAGCGUUGUCCGGAAUUAUUGGGCGUAAAGAGCUCGUAGGCGGCUUGUCACGUCGGAUGUGAAAGCCCGAGGCUUAACCUCGGGCCUGCAUUCGAUACGGGCUAGCUAGAGUGUGGUAGGGGAGAUCGGAAUUCCUGGUGUAGCGGUGAAAUGCGUAGAUAUCUGGAGGAACACCGGUGGCGAAGGCGGCAUCCUGGACCGGUAUUGACGCUGAGGCGCGAAAGCUAGGGGAGCAAACGGG
rnacentral:rRNA from 1 species